rnacentral:rRNA from 1 species
UGAACGCUGGCGGCGUGCCUAAUACAUGCAAGUAGAACGCUGAAGACUUUAGCUUGCUAAAGUUGGAAGAGUUGCGAACGGGUGAGUAACGCGUAGGUAACCUGCCUACUAGCGGGGGAUAACUAUUGGAAACGAUAGCUAAUACCGCAUAACAGCAUUUAACCCAUGUUAGAUGCUUGAAAGGAGCAAUUGCUUCACUAGUAGAUGGACCUGCGUUGUAUUAGCUAGUUGGUGAGGUAACGGCUCACCAAGGCGACGAUACAUAGCCGACCUGAGAGGGUGAUCGGCCACACUGGGACUGAGACACGGCCCAGACUCCUACGGGAGGCAGCAGUAGGGAAUCUUCGGCAAUGGGGGCAACCCUGACCGAGCAACGCCGCGUGAGUGAAGAAGGUUUUCGGAUCGUAAAGCUCUGUUGUAAGAGAAGAACGUGUGUGAGAGUGGAAAGUUCACACAGUGACGGUAACUUACCAGAAAGGGACGGCUAACUACGUGCCAGCAGCCGCGGUAAU